rnacentral:rRNA from 1 species
UACGAAGGGAGCUAGCGUUGUUCGGAAUCACUGGGCGUAAAGCGCACGUAGGCGGAUGUGUCAGUCAGGGGUGAAAUCCCGGAGCUCAACUUCGGAACUGCCUUUGAUACAGCACAUCUGGAGUCCGGAAGAGGUGGGUGGAACUGCGAGUGUAGAGGUGAAAUUCGUAGAUAUUCGCAAGAACACCAGUGGCGAAGGCGGCUCACUGGCCCGGUACUGACGCUGAGGUGCGAAAGCGUGGGGAGCAAACAGG